UCUUUCUGAAGUUUUCUGCCUUGUCAGGCUGCCCCUUUCCUGGGGAGAAAGGCAGGCCUUCGUUGGGGCUGGGUCUGCAGUGUCUCCAGGUUGCGGCCUUCCUUACCUCCAAGCCUGGGACACUCAGGGCAAAAAGAAAAGCCAGGGAAGCCCAUUGCUGUGCUAUUUGUUCCUUGGGUCCCGAGGUCCCUGGCCAUUCUGCCUUCUCUUCACCUUCCUCUUCUUAACAUUUCUUUGUCUGUGGUUUCCAGGGCUUUAGUUGCUGUAUUUAGCAGGAGGAAUAGGAAAAAGCACAUCGACUCUGUUUUCCCAGGAGCAGAGAUCUCUCAGGUGAGUUUGACUAGCUUUUUAUUGCAUACUUCUUUUUUUCUGAUAUAAAUCUUUAGGAGUUCCCAUUGCGGUAACGAACUCAAUUAGUCCUUAAUCCACUGAGCGAGGCCAGGGAUCAAACCCUCAACCUCAUGGUUACUAAUCUGUUCCUGCUGCUCCACAAUGAAACAUCCAUGACUCUGACAUUUUUGAAAAUUGUAGUCCAGCAAUUACAUAGAAUAUCCUUCAGUUAUAUAGAAUUUCCUCAAUGUAUGUGAUGUUUCUCAUGAUUGGAUUUGGAUUGUUUUUCUAGCAGGAACAUUACAUGAAUGCUCUGUCUUUCUCAGUGCAUCUUAUCAGGUGAUACGGUAUAUCAAUAGGACCCAUCACUGGUGAUGUACAGACAUUGAGAUCUUGGUUAAGGGAAAUCUCCCUAGUCCUCUCCAUUGUCAAGUUUUUCUUUUAAUUUUUGUAACUAAGAAGCACUUUUCGUGGGGAGAUACUUUGAUAGUAUUUAAAUAUCCUAUCCUCAAUCCAACUUAAGCCACAAGAGGCAGCAUCCAUUGACAAUUCUUGCACACAUCAAUUGUUGCCAAAAAUGUUGAAAAACUAUACUUUUCUUUAGGUGACUUAAGUUUAUUCCUUUUGUCUUGUAACCAAAAGAACCUGACUAAAGCCAAAGUUAGAAUGGAAUGUUUCUAUCAGGGGUUUGUAUGGCAAAGCCACUAAUUGGCCAACCCCUGGGGUCUCUCAGACUCUCUGCAUGGGUGCUCCAUUGGGGGGUGGGCGGGGUGUGAUGGUUUGGUGGCUGUAGCUCUGGAUCAUUUCUAAGGUGGCGGGGGGAUUGUUUUUGAGUGCUCUAGACUGGAUUAGUUACUGUAUUAUAAAUUCCUUACUAUCUUGCCAAACCUGUACUGAUACUUUGUUUUAGUAUAUGUGCUGCCAAGCAAGCACGGAUACUUUGUUUUAAUGUCUGUCUCCCUCCCUAGAGAGUAAGCUUUGGGACCUUCGGAAACAUAGCCCUUGAUCUAAGGGGUAGAAACUGCCGCAUGGAUUAAAGGAGAAAUGACCACGUCAAAUACGACACCUCUUUGGCUUGUCUCGCUGUGUCUCACGUCUCGGUUUUAUAUGCUUCCUCUGGCAUCUUUUUAUUAUAGCCUUAAUACUACCUGCACAUUUUGCUGAAAAGAUGCCAUUUUUUGGAGCCUGAAUUCGCCCUGCUCUGUCACUCAACACCAGUCCAGCCACUUUCCUGCAGGGGUAACAUUCAGUGUUGUGUGUUUUGCAGCUCCAGUGCCUGGCACGGUGUUUGAUAAAUAUUUAUUGACUGAGUGAGUGAAUGUAAGUAGGGGAGGCAGACAACAGUGGGUAGGGUCUGCGAUGUCCUGGCUGAAUAGCAAUUCUUGACUGUAAUGUCCUCAAAUCCGUCAGUGUUUCCCUUUAUGGUUUGCAGUUUCAUGAAUUUAAGAAAAUUCCAUGAAGGAGUUCCCAUUGUGGUGCAGCAGAAACGAAUCCGGCUAGGAACCAUGAGGUUUUGGGUUCGAUCUCUGGCCUCACUCAGUGGGUUAAGGAUCCAGCAUUGCUGUGACUAUGGUGUAGGCUGGCAGCUGUAGCUCUGAUUCGACCCCUAGCCUGGGAACCUCCAUAUGCCGCAGGUACGGGCGAGAAAGAAAAAAAAAAAAAUCCAUGUAACUAACAUAACAUUGUAAAUCAUACUCCAAUAUAACAUAAAAAUUAAUAAAAAUGAAAAAAGAAGAAAUUCUAUCCCAAGGUCACAAAAUUACUCUCCUAUAUCUUCUUUUGUUAGCUUUAUAGUUUGGCCAUGUGUUCUAAAGUCCUUAAUCCAUCUGGAGCUUACUUUUUUUUUUUUUUUUUUUUUUUUUUUGUCUUAAUACUACCUGCACAUUUUGCUGAAAAACCUUGGCAGGUGAGAGUUCCUGGACCAGGGAUUAAACCUGCAUCUGAGCCACUGCACUGACAAUGCUGGACCCUCAACCCAUUGAGCCACAUGGGAACUCUGGAGCUCAAUUUUCUAUACGGUAUGAGGUAGGGAUAUAACUAUUUCUUUUUUUCUCUGUAGCUGAGGGGGCUACAUAUCCCCUCUGCUAUUCUAACCUGAUCCCAUUAAUGUCAUCUUCCCUUUAUCCUGUCUCAAGUUGCCCUCUGCGCACAGGAUGUCUCUGCACUCUGUUCAGUUUCAGUUCCCUCCUUUGUCAGUUACUGAGCAACACCACUUGUAUUUGUGUGUAUGUGUGUUUUUGUUGUUGUUUUGCUAUGGCUUUUGUGGUAUGUUUUACCAUCUGGCAGGGUGAUUCCCUUCUGUUUCCUCUUCGUUUUCAAAGCCAAUGCAGCUAUUUUUGACCUCUAUACCAUCUAUACAUUUUGGGUAAGUUUGUCAAGUUUCUGAAAAUUUAACUUUUAUAUCAUUUUAAGAAGAAUUAAUAUCUUUAUAAUAUUGAUCCGACCCAUCCAAACAAGUAGCUCAUCUCUCCAUUUACACCAAACUUUUAUAUCUUUAACAAUUUCAAAUUUUGGAAUUCCCUGGUGGUACAGCAGGUUAAGUAUCUGGCAUUGUCACUGCUGUGGCGCAAGUUCGAUCCCUGGCCUAGGAACUUCUGCAUGCUGCGGGUAUGGCCAAAAAAAAAAAAAAACCACCCCAAACCAAACAGCUUCAAGUAUUUCCAAGGAAGGUUUUACAUAAAUGUAAGAAACAUUCAUAAUUAAGUUCUGAAUACUAUUGUGAAGGAUACUUUGCUUUCUACAAUUCCUAAUUAAUUAUUGCCAGUGUCAAGAGAGCUAUUAGUAUUAAAUUUUUCUUGUAUCCAGCAAAGUCCCUGACUCUCCUAGGGGUUUGAAUAGUUUGCUUAUUGUUUCUGAUUGAUAGAUUUUCUUUUUUUUCUUUUGCUUUUUUAGGGCCACACCUGCGGCACAUGGGAGUUCCCAGGCUGGGGAACUAAUCGGAGCUACAGCUGUGGCCUCUACCCUAGCCACAGCAACUCAGGAUCUAAGCCAAGAUUGCCACCUACACCACAGCUCAUGGCAACACCGGAUCCUUAACCCACUGAGCAAGGCCAGGGAUUGAACCCGCAUCCUCAUGGAUCCUAGUCGGGUUCAUUAACCACUGCACCACAAUGGGAGCUCUCUGUUCCUGAUGGAUGUUCUACAUGGGGAAUCUUAUCAUCACAGGUAAUAAAACAUUUAUCUUUUACCUUCCUGUAUCUGGCUUAUUUCGUUUUCUUAGCAUAUUGGUCAGGACCUCCAGUAUUGCAGUAGUGGCAGUCUGUCUUAUACCCAUGUGUACAGGGAGAUCAUCAUUAAAUAUAUUAAUUAGGAGUUCCCGUCAUGGCGCAGUGGUUAACAAAUCCAACUAGGAAUCAUGAGGUUGCGGGUUCCAUCCCUGGCCUUGCUCAGUAGGUUAAGGAUCUGGCAUUGCUGUGAGCUCUGGUGCAGGUCGAAGAUGCAGCUCGGAUCCCGUGUCGCUGUGGCUGUGGCGUAGGCUGGUGACUACAGCUCCGAUUGGACCCAUAGCCUGGGAACCUCCAUAUGCCUUGGGAGCAGCCCUAGAAAAGGC
rnacentral:tRNA from 1 species